GAUGAACGCUGGCGGCGUGCCUAAUACAUGCAAGUCGAGCGAAUGGAUUAAGAGCUUGCUCUUAUGAAGUUAGCGGCGGACGGGUGAGUAACACGUGGGUAACCUGCCCAUAAGACUGGGAUAACUCCGGGAAACCGGGGCUAAUACCGGAUAACAUUUUGAACCGCAUGGUUCGAAAUUGAGAGGCGGCUUCGGCUGUCACUUAUGGAUGGACCCGCGUCGCAUUAGCUAGUUGGUGAGGUAACGGCUCACCAAGGCAACGAUGCGUAGCCGACCUGAGAGGGGGAUCGGCCACACUGGGACUGAGACACGGCCCAGAGUCCUACGGGAGGCAGCAGUGGGGAAUCUUCCGCAAUGGACGAAAGUCUGACGGAGCAACGCCGCGUGAGUGAUGAAGGCUUUCGGGUCGUAAAACUCUGUUGUUAGGGAAGAACAAGUGCUAGUUGAAUAAGCUGGCACCUUGACGGUACCUAACCAGAAAGCCACGGCUAACUACGUGCCAGCCGCCGCAGUAA
rnacentral:rRNA from 1 species